CCCUUAGAUGUUCUGGGCUGCACGCGCGCUACACUGAUGCACUCAACGAGUUUACGACCUUGCCCGAUAGGGUUGGGUAAUCUUUUUAAAAUGCAUCGUGAUGGGGAUAGAUUAUUGCAAUUAUUAAUCUUCAACGAGGAAUUCCUAGUAAGCGCGAGUCAUCAGCUCGCGCUGAUUACGUCCCUGCCCUUUGUACACACCGCCCGUCGCUACUACCGAUUGGAUGGUUUAGCGAGAACUUUGGACCGGAGCUCGGGUGGUCAGCAAUGGCCGCCCGAGACAUACUGGGAAAUCGCUCCAGCUUGAUCAUCUAGAGGAAGUAAAAGUCGUAACA
rnacentral:rRNA from 1 species